UAAAUCAUCUGUUUAAUCUUGGCAGAGUUUGAACGUUAUCUGGUAGUUUUACUCAUGCAAGUUAUUAAUUAUCAUAACUUUUAAUCGGCAGCCUCAUUUUUUUUAUAUAAGAACGUAAAGUUGCCGACCUGAUUAUAUUAGGACUACAGUUUACUAAUUAUAGCGUACAGGCGAGUAUAAAUAAGUAUAUACCAAUAGUUUAUACCUUACAGUCUUUGUCACCGUAGGUGAUAUAAACUAUUGAUUAGCUUAUGUUUUAGCAGGUAGUUGGUUUAUGGUAAAAGCAUACCAAGCCUAUGACGAAUAAGAAUUAGCGAAAGCUUAGUUUCUCGCAAUUGGUUUGAGAAUAACCGAUCACAUCUAAAUUACUAGAUAUGCUGCAGAGGAGGAUCUUGGGCAAUGCUCGAAAGAGUGACCCAGCUAACCAGAACUCUUUUAUCUUGUAUUGAUAACUUUAGAAUAACAUCAAAAAGCUAUUAUAACAAGAAUAGAGUAUAGUAAGGGAGGAUAAUGACGUUACCUUACCAUAAGUCCAAUCUAAGUUUCGUGCCAGCCGACGCGGUUAAACGAACUGGGCUAACGUUAAAUAGAAUUAAUAGGUAUUAAGGAUUCGUAGGUUGUAUUUAUCAACUAUGUUGAUAUACUAGAAUUGAAUAGAGGAUAAUGGAAUGCUAAGAGAAGGGAUGAUAUCCACUGAUAUUUAGUAGAACGCUAAAGGCGAAGGCAAUUAUCCAGUUACCAAUUGACACUGAGGAAUGAAAGUCUGGGGAGCAAAACGAAUUAGAUACUCGUGUAGUCCAGACCGUAAACUAUUUACACUUUAUAUUUAGACAAUGUUAUAAUGUUAAAUAAUAAGCAAACUGCUGUAUGUGUAACACCUUGUGAGUACUGUUUCAGGACAGAAAGCAAAAAGAUUAGACCAUCUUAAAGACCCGGAGUGGAGCAUGUUGUUUAAUACGAUAAUCCGCGUAAAACCUUACCUCUCCUUGUAUGACUUAAUUUCAUUACUAUAUGUAAUGAAAUUAAGUUACAGGUGUUGCAUGGCUGUCGGCAGUUCGUGUCGUGAGAUGUUAGGUUGAGUCCGCUAACGAACGCAAUCCCUAUCUCUAAUUAAUUAUUUAGAGAUAUAUUUUUACAAUAAAUAUUUUGGGAAUACGAUAAGUCUUCAUGACCCUUAUGGAGCAAGGGCUACAGACGUGCUACUUGAAUCUAUCAAUACGAAGCAAUUUUCUAAAAUAUAACUAAAUUUAAUCGGCAGAGCCGUCAGUUAUUAAGCAUCCUUUUUAUUAUAUUUUUUUAUUAUAUUUAUAUAAUAAAAAAACAAAGAUAGAAUCGGCGAAGCCUCGGCGAAGCCUCGGCGAAGCCGUAAAGUAUGCGAAAAUAGAGAUCAUAAAGCAAAUCGUUAACAAAGAUGAUAUUAGGAUCGUAAUCUGAAAUUCGAUUACGUGAAUCAGGAAUUCCGAGUAAUCAUUGAUAAGUAUGCAAUGGUGAACUAUUAUAUUUAAGAGAUACUAAUCGUCUAUCACAUGGGGGCCAUUCUGCAAUCAAGAACAUUUAUAAAUUAAAUUAGCCUUAUGGCAUUAUAAAUGGUAUGAUGAGGAGUUUCUCUCGUGAAGUUAUAGCAAAGUAGCCGUAAGGGAACUUGUGGCUGAUUGAUAAAAAAA
rfam:Tilletia controversa strain DAOM 236426 scaffold_1, whole genome shotgun sequence.